rnacentral:rRNA from 1 species
GGAAGCACCGGCUAACUCCGUGCCAGCAGCCGCGGUAAUACGGGGGGUGCAAGCGUUGUUCGGAAUUAUUGGGCGUAAAGCGCGUGUAGGCGGUUUGUUAAGUCUGAUGUGAAAGUCCUGGGCUCAACCCAGGAAGUGCAUUGGAUACUGGCGGACUUGAAUACGGGAGAGGGUAGUGGAAUUCCUGGUGUAGGAGUGAAAUCCGUAGAUAUCAGGAGGAACACCGGUGGCGAAGGCGGCUACCUGGACCGAUAUUGACGCUGAGACGCGAAAGCGUGGGGAGCAAACAGGAUUAGAUACCCUGGUAGUCCAUGCCGUAAACGAUGAGAACUAGGUGUCGCGGGUA